AAAGAUUUAGGAUACCUAGACCAAGGGCCUUCAAAGCCCUAAGAAGAAGAUAAACCCUUCUAAUCUU
rnacentral:tRNA from 1 species